rnacentral:rRNA from 1 species
UACGGAGGAUCCGAGCGUUAUCCGGAUUCAUUGGGUUUAAAGGGUGCGUAGGUUGUUUUAUAAGUUAGCGGUGAAAUACCGAUGCUCAACAUCGGGGCUGCCGCUGAUACUGUAGGACUAGAGAUCGGAUGCAGCAGGCGGAAAGUGUAGUGUAGCGGUGAAAUGCAUAGAUAUUACACAGAACACCGAUUGCGAAGGCAGCUUGCUAGGCCGGAUCUGACACUGAUGCACGAAAGCGUGGGGAUCGAACAGG